CCUACGGGAGGCAGCAGUGGGGAAUUUUGGACAAUGGGCGCAAGCCUGAUCCAGCAAUGCCGCGUGCAGGAAGAAGGCCUUCGGGUUGUAAACUGCUUUUGUACGGAACGAAACGGCUCUGGUUAAUACCUGGGGCUAAUGACGGUAACCAAUGAAUAAGCCCCGGCUAACUUCGUGCCAGCAGCCGCGGUAAUACGAAGGGGGCUAGCGUUGUUCGGAAUGACUGGGCGUAAAGGGCGCGUAGGCGGUAUAAUACGUUUGGUGUGAAAGUCCUGGGCUUAACCUGGGGACUGCACUGAAUACGGUUAUACUGGAGUGCGAGAGGGGAUAAGGGAAUUGUGCGUGUAGAGGUGAAAUUCGUAGAUAUGCACAAGAACACCGGUGGCGAAGGCGCUUAUCUGGCUCGCAACUGACGCUAAGGCGCGAAAGCGUGGGGAGCAAACAGGAUUAGAUACCCUGGUAGUCCACGCCCUAAACGAUGAAUGCUAGGUGCUGGGAGUAAUCUCGGUGCCGCCGCUAACGCAUUAAGCAUUCCGCCUGGGGAGUACGGUCGCAAGAUUAAAACUCAAAGGAAUUGACGG
rnacentral:rRNA from 1 species